rnacentral:lncRNA from 1 species
CUCAACCAAGCCGCUAGGGUAAUCGCCGACAUCCGCCUCGGCGCCGACCGCAUCCUCGAAGCCAUGUUCGUCGCCUCGAACCCUCGCCACAACGACGCGCCUCUCCAGCUCUUCCUCAAAGAAGACGCUUCCAUGCGUCAGCACCUCCGCCUCUCCAGCUCUUCCUCAAAGAAGACGCUUCCAUGCGUCAGCACCUCCAGGAUCUCCGUUCAAUCGGUACUACUUUACAAAAAUUGAUUCUUUCCAUUAGUAUAAUCAGUAGAUUAGGGAUUUGAAAGUGUUGGUGUUG